ACCCAUAACUCUGGAAUCGGAAAUCGGAUCGAGAUGAAAUUUAAUAGCCAUUUAAGGGGAUAAAACACCUUUCAUUUGAGACCAAGUUUGGUCGAAUCUCCGAAAAACCAAUGAGACUGUAACUCUUAAUUUGGAUACUUCCGCCGGGGCUUCCGGAACCGACGAUGGUGGCCAAUGUGACCAAAGAGACUUUGAAUGGCUGUUAGUGACCUAGUACUACAAAUCUAAGUAGAUGUGGCACCAGUUUGAAAAAGUUUUCACCUUUAUACAUUCAUUACAGAAUUUUUUAAAAUCAACAUUUUCUGCGUGAUCGUACUCUUCACUCUGUAACUCCUGAACCGGAAGUCAGAUCCAUUAUAAAUUCAAUAGCAGCCUACAGGAUACACGUUUCAUUUGAGACUAAGUUUAUGAAAAUCGGUUCAGCCAUCUCUGAGAAAAGUGAGUGAGAUUGUGGUCACAUACACACAGAGAAUUGACGGACUGAAUCGAAUGGUAUAUGUCACUCGAGCCUCCGGGUCUCCGUUGAAAAGACGGUUUUCAGAGCAGUUUUUCUAUUGAGAAAGGCAAAACGUAAAUCGUACGAACAAGUUAUAGCAAAUAGUGAUACAUUUAACACUUUUAUAAUGAGUGGCUCAUGUCCCUUCAGAUUUGACCGCACUUACCGCUUGAUGACGUCCCAGUUUGAUAUUUCUUUUGAGUGGUUUGAGAAAACUGAGAAAACGAAAAUCGUCAACGCAGGCCUGGAUACGGUUAAAGAAAUAUAAACAAAUUUUGGUAGCCUCGCAUCGUUUUCCGGAGCAGUUGGAUAUCAUUGUCAUCAAUACCCCCAGGGUUGCAAAAUUGAUUCGGUUCUGUGACUCCGAAUCUAAAGAAUAUGGCGUGCGACAUCGAAGAAUUUAUUCCGUGCAUUUUAGGUCGUCUUGUUUCAAACACCUAUUAAAUCUAUCUAAAGGGAAAAUGUUGCAAAAUUACACAAACUAAAAAUUAAAAAUUGACGCGUUUCGUUUUGCAGAUGAUGAUCGAGUUGCACUUUUUGUUGCCAACGAACGGAAAACAAAUAAAUAAUUGAAGAAAUUUUUCUCCUCAAAAUAUUUGAUUAUUUCUGCUGCCUCUGCACUCCUUGCUGUCGUUCGAUUCCGUUCACGUGGCUUCGACGUGCUGCCUCGAGGAUCGGCAACUCGUUGGUAGCGAGCCGCGUGGCUUGUUUCGAUAUUCCACCUGUUGCUAUGGGCCUUGGUUGCCUCUAGAUGACCUCGCAUCUGCGUGGUGACUUCAGGAAACUAUUCAGUCAUGUCAAACUGAGGCUUCCAAUAGUCAACACCGGUGAAACAACGUCAUCUCGGUUAUUGACUUCAGAUACAUCGAGCAAUACGGAACAUUUGAACAAGACUGUAGCUUACCCGAGCUCCGAGCCACUACAAUUCCAUUUGACUUCAGUCAUACCGGCUGGAAUAUAAUAUAGAAUUCUGGCUGUCUAAGAGACAAGUAUUUUAAUUGUGCAUUCAUUUUUAUUUGUUUUUUGUUGAUGAUUAAUUCAUUUCAAAUAUAUUUGUAGUUGGAACUGUGGCCACAUUUGCAAUUAUGGUGCCACUGACAUAUGAGCAAGCGUAUGGGGGAUAGACCACUAGUGAAUAAUUGUUCUUAAACCUGAGGGGUAACCACCCAUAUUGAUGGUGGUUUUAAGUGUUUUGUUACCAGCCACCAUCUUGGAUUUCAA